rnacentral:lncRNA from 1 species
GAUGCAGUUCCACAACACACAGCCACAUUCACCCACAGACCGAGGUACAGAACGAGAGACAACCUCUGCCCCCCCAGCAGCUGGCCAGCUUUGCAGCCCCAGUCUUGAGCCCCCAACUACCCUCCCCCCACCCACCCCCAUCCCCUUCCCAAUUGAAGGAGCGGAAAGAGAAGAGAGAAGAGUGAGCAGAGAGAUUGAGAGAUUGAGAGAGAGAGAGAGAGAUAGACGGAGAUCUCUGGAGCAGACCUCAAGCCGGAGCCCAAUGUCACCCUGAACUCAGCCCAAGGUGUCUUCCUGGGACCCAGCCCGGAGGAGAGGACCUGAAACUGAAGAUAGUCUCUAUGGAGGUUUUGCGGAGAGACUGCCUGGCGGCCUUCAGAGAGAGUGGAACAGCUGGGUGCCUGUGGCCACUGCGGAGGACAGGACGAGGAGAGCCUGUAUGCCCUGGCUAACCAGAGCCAACACUGCCUCUUCUCUGCUUAGUGCUCUAGCAUUGCCAGAGUGCCCAGCUGGCAUCUCUGAACCAGACUUAGGCUAACCACCCACAGUGGGCUGGGAAGCCCUAUGAAGGAGAAA